AGGUUUGAUCCUGGCUCAGGACGAACGCUGGCGGCGUGCCUAAUACAUGCAAGUCGAGCGGGACUCUUCGGAGUCUAGCGGCGGACGGGUGAGUAACACGUGGGCAACCUGCCUGUAAGACUGGGAUAACUUCGGGAAACCGGAGCUAAUACCGGAUAAUCCUUUUCCUCACAUGAGGGGAAGCUGAAAGACGGUUUCGG
rnacentral:rRNA from 1 species